ensembl:lncRNA
CCCGCCCACCCGCGGAGCAGCCAGUGAGGGUGCACUCGGCGGGCCCGCGCGGCACCUGCAGAGCGCCUCCCCUGAGCGAGUCCUCCCGGCCCGCGCGCCGCCCCUGGCCGUGCCCUAAAUCCCUCUCCUCGGACACGGAGCGACCCCAGGGCAGUCCGUGUUCGCCUUUGUCGGCAGCCCUGCACAGAGCUCACGUUGUCUACAAAAUUGCCAGUUCGGGGGUUCUUUGAGUCCCAGUACACAACUUAGGGAAACUUGGUGUUGCAGUGGAACGUGGCCUUCGCCCCCUCUUUCGUGGGUGUGUUUCCUGUGGCGUACGGAGGGGCUAUUCAUUUACGGUCUUGGUGUCCGAAAUUUCAGCUGCUUCCGGCGAUCGUGCCAGGUUGCAGUGGCCGUGGCACGCCGCCAGAAGACGAUCGUCCGGGUCCGGGACAUCCCUCCCCCCGCUAGCGUCCCGAUCGCGCAGCUCUUGCUGCGGCCGCACCCGCGCGUCCGGGCCGGCGGCGAGCGGCAGACAAAGGCCUGCCGUCGGGGCCUCGGUCUCAGCGUCGGGAGACAGACGACGACAGUACGCGAUAGAUUUCAGAGAGAAGCCUGUGGAAGUUACGGGCCCUGGGACUCAGAGAUGAAGCAGAUGCAGCGGGAGAGACAAGAGACCUGGGACCGGCUGCCCUCGGUGUUUUGCGCGCCAGGGGAGAAGGGUUUCCCGGCCCCGAGACGGCACGUGCUCAGAGGGAGCAGCGCGCGGUGCAGGCCGCCGGGGGGUGGCCGUGCACUCGUGGAGCAGGUCCAAGGCAGCUGCACCUGCGGGCCUGGAGCGCACGGGGAAGUCGGGGCCUGGAGGAAUAAUCUCUGAGAGAAGAAGCGCCAUCCUCCUGCUGUCUGUGAGUCAUGAAGCUGAAGCCAGUGAAUAAAACAUGGUUUUUGUAGAUGAAAUCUGUGCUCGUGGUUUAAUCGCUGGACGUUGUAGCCGAGAAAGCCAUGUCCCCGGAGCGUCUGUCUGCACCACAGCUGACUUUUCCCAGGGAUGGUGAUCGACCUUAGGAUGGAGCUGUCUUACCGGUCGUGGUUCCCGCAGAACCUGGCAGAGUCCUGGCCCAGAGUGGGCGCUCAGUGACUACUAGAUGAAUGGCACCGUGGGGUGUGGUCCACAGACCCUGAGGAAAAGACUGCCCUGGAAAACUGCCCCCUCUGGAGACCAAACGUGUGACUGACAAAACCUGAGGUUGCUCAGUGCUUAUCCCCUCCUGGCUAAGACCAGAGGCUCCCCCAACUGUAUUCUCGUCAACUUACAGCUUUGAUUUUAAUUCAAAAAUGUCAAGUUACUAGUCUUUCUUUUUUUGGUGAGGAAGAUUGUCACUGAGCUAACAUCUGUGCCCAUCUUCCUCUGUUUUGUAUGUGGGACACCGCCAUGGCUUGAUCAGCAGUGUGUAGGUCUGCACCCAGGAUCCAAACCCGUGAACCCUAGGCCGUUGAAGUGGAGCUCCCGAACUUAACCACUAUGCCACUGGGCCAACCACUAUGCCACCAGGCCAGCCGCUAAGUUAUGAUUCUUACAGUCGCCAUCUCUUCCUGCUGAAGCGCAUCCUUGAGUAGCCCUCUUGGGGAAGGUCUGUGGGUUGCAAACUCUGUCUGUG